ACGGCGAGUGAAGAGGGAAAAGCCCAAAUUUGUAAUCUGGCUCUUUUAUAGAGUCCGAGUUGUAAUUUUGAGAACUGUUUUCCGUGCUGGACCAUGUACAAGUCUGUUGAAAAACAGCAUCGUUGAGGGUGAAAAUCCCGUAAAUGAUAUGGACUACCAGUGCAAUGUGAUACAGUCUCUAAGAGUCGAGUUGUUUGGGAAUGCAGCUCAAAGUGGGUGGUAAAUUCCAUCUAAGGCUAAAUAUAGGUGAGAGACCGAUAGCAAACAAGUACCGUGAGGGAAAGAUGAAAAGAACUUUGGAAAGAGAGUUAACAGUACGUGAAAUUGUUAAAAGGGAAACAUUUGAAGUUAGACUUGUUAUUAUUGGUUCAACUUUCUUUUGAAGGUGUAUUCCAAUGGUUAACGGACCAACAUCAAUUUUUGAGUGUUAAAAAAGGGUCUUGAGAAUGUAGCAAUUUAGGUUGUGUUAUAGCUCUUGACUUUGAUUUUAAUGCUUAGGAUUGAGGAACGCGCAGUGAGC
rnacentral:rRNA from 2 species